CAGAGGGUGCGAGCGUUGUUCGGAAUUAUUGGGCGUAAAGCGCGUGUAGGCGGCUUAGUAAGUUGGGUGUGAAAGCCCUCGGCUUAACCGAGGAAGUGCGCCCAAAAACUGCUUGGCUUGAGUACCGGAGAGGGUGGCGGAAUUCCCGGUGUAGAGGUGAAAUUCGUAGAUAUCGGGAGGAACACCAGCGGCGAAGGCGGCCACCUGGACGGAUACUGACGCUGAGACGCGAAAGCGUGGGGAGCAAACAGGAUUAGAUACCCUGGUAGUCCACGCUGUAAACGAUGAGCGCUAGGUGUUGCGGGUGUUGACCCCUGCAGUGCCGCAGCUAACGCAUUAAGCGCUCCGCCUGGGAAGUACGGCCGCAAGGCUA
rnacentral:rRNA from 1 species